CCUCUUCUCUCCGUUCUCUCCCAAUAUUCUUUCUCGGGAUUGGUGGCCAAAGAGAAACUGACUCGUUUCCCCUAUAAAUAAACCCUUCUUUCCUUCAUUACCUACACGACCCUAUGAAAUGAAAACUCACCCUUUUUCCCAUUUCUUUCUCUCUCUUUUUGUCCUUUUGGAUUUUGCAGCCAUGGCUGCCUAUGAAGCUUUAGGGUUUUCCCUUUCUUUUCCUCUUUUGCAGAAAAAGUCAGCACAAGGUUGGCAAUUUGUCAUUCUUGGGCGCACUUCCCACAUCGGAUAAAAGGGCAGGCCCCUGCUUUGUUUCAGUUUCACUUGCUGUCCUAAUGCUCCAAUGGUUGGAACAAAGAGUUAUGCCUUAAAAGCGACGUGACUGAAUUUUUUUUUCCCCACGACACAUGGGGGCGCCAUUAUUGCUUUGCCUUGCCAUUUCCCUUUCAGUUUGUUCACAGGCGCCAGUUGUAUGGAAUAUUAAUUGUUUAGUUACUGGUGUUUGUUCAACCGAGAAUGGUAACAAGUUUGAUGCCUCUUUAGAAGAAAGAUUACGAUUUUGAAUGUGAUAUUUAAGUAAAACUUUUUCAAAUAGAGACUUAGUUAGGAGUAAGUAGGAUGUAGAAAUUUAGGGUUGAGUAAAUCGAGAAAUUAAAAAUUGGUCCAAAAUAAAGUGUUUGAUCGGUUUAUAAAGCACAAAUUAAAAGAUCAUCGUUAUCUUAGUUGAA